GAUGAAGAACGCAGCAAAAUGCGAUAAGUAAUGUGAAUUGCAGAAUUCAGUGAAUCAUCGAAUCUUUGAACGCACAUUGCGCCCGCCAGUAUUCUGGCGGGCAUGCCUGUUCGAGCGUCAUUUCAACCCUCAAGCACAGCUUGGUGUUGGGACUCGCGUUAAUUCGCGUUCCCCAAAUUGAUUGGCGGUCACGUCGAGCUUCCAUAGCGUAGUAGUAAAACCCUCGUUACUGGUAAUCGUCGCGGCCACGCCGUUAAACCCCAACUUCUGAAUGUUGACCUCGGAUCAGGUAGGAAUACCUGCUGAACUUAAGCAUAUCAAUAAGCGGAGGA
rnacentral:misc_RNA from 1 species